AUUGAACGCUGGUGGCAGGCCUAACACCUGCAAGUCGAACGAGUGGCGGACGGGUGAGUAAUGUCUGGGAUACUGCCUGAUGGUGGUGGAUAACUACUGGAAACGGUAGCUAAUACCGCAUACCAUCUGAUGUGCCCAUAUGGGCUUAGCUUGUGGGUGGGGUAACAGCUCACCAAGGCGACGAUCCCUAGCUGGUCUGAGAGGAUGACCGGCCACCCUGGAGCUGAGAAGCGGUCCAGACUCCAACGGGAGGCAGCAGGGGGGAAUAUUGCACGUGGGGCGCAAGCCUGAUGCAGCCAUGCCGCAUGUAUGGAGCAGGCCCUCGGGUUGUAAAGUACUUUCAGCGGGGAGGCGUUGCCCGCAGAAGAAGCACCGGCUAACUCCGUGCCAGCAGCCGCGGUAAUUC
rnacentral:rRNA from 1 species